rnacentral:rRNA from 1 species
AUUCGAGGUCUGACCUGCCCACUGAGAUUAUUAAAGGGCCGCGGUAUAUUAACCGUGCGAAGGUAGCAUAGUCAAUAGUCUUUUAAUUGAAGGCUUGAAUGAACGGUUGGACAUAAGGAGAGCUGUCUCGUUUGGUCGGGGUGAAUUUGACUUUUGUGUGAAAAGGCAUAAAUGAAUUAUGGGGACGAUAAGACCCUAUAAAACUUGAUGGUUUGUUUGGUCUUACUAAUAUAAGUAUAAAGGGGGGAUAAAAUAAGUCCAUUCUGCUGGGGCGGCAAGAAUAAAAUUCUGUAACUGUUCUUCUAAUUAAAUAGUUGUAUUUAGAUUUUGAUCCUGAAGUUUGGGUUAAAAGAUCAAGUUACUUUAGGGAUAACAGCGUUAUUUUCCUUGAGAGUCCAUAUCGACAGGAAUGUUUGCGACCUCGAUGUUGAAUUAAAAUUUCCUCUAGGAGCAGAAAUUUAUGAGGUAGGUCUGUUCGACCUUUAAAAUUUUACAUGAUUUGAGUUCAAACCGGUGUGAGCCAGGUUG